CUAGUAGGUAGAACCUUGGAGAAGGGGUCAAAAUAAUUCAAACGCAAACCUUUAUAAUUCCCUUCAUAUCAAUCAAUCUCCCCAAAAUCUUAAAUCUUUAAACCCUAGACUAGACUAGAUUUCAUUUAAAUUGAAUCUAAUGGGUAUUUUCAAGAGCACAUUCUCGUUUGUUUUUGGUACGGGUUUCGGAGUAUACUUGGCCCAAAAUUACAACGUGCCCAAUAUCCAAAAGCUCGUUGACACUGGCCUUGUAAUUGCCAAGCAUUUUGAAGAGAAUUAUCGCAAACCCAAAAAGAGAGAUAAUGAAGAUUAGUCUUACGGCGUCGUUUUACAUUCUACAGUUUGUGAGAGUCUGCCUGGUUUGAAGCGGUUCUUAAGGAGUUUUGAGGACUUGUCCUUUCCGCAUCUAUCAAUUUAGAUACCAAGGGUGCUCAGAAGGUAGUGUCUCGCUUGUUCUAUUUGAUGGAACAUCUUCAGAUGGUCUGGACUUCAAUGGGUGAUGCUGGCCACCGUGAGGCAAGCAUCUUCAACUGAAAAUUUAGAAGAAUGAGGAGAAAACAGAAGGUGUGGGAUAUUGCUCUGCUAGCAUGCUAGCAAUCACGUGGAUUGUAUGUAAAGAGAGAAAUCGGAGAGCUUUUGAAGGAAUAAAAAAUGAUUUUGUACAUUUGAGGAAUAACGACCUCGAGUCAACUAUUGCUUUCUGGUGCACCCAUGAGAUUCCAACAUGUAUGGAAGAUUGGGUGUCUAUUAUCGCGUUGUUGGUUUUGUACUUAUUGGUAUAUCACUUCUAUGCCUGGGUUCUUUUCCCAUCUUCAAUGAAAUUAUUUUACCUUAUAAAAAAUAAAAAUAAAAGUAAAAGGAAUAACAUUGCUAAAGGAGUUCUGUUCUUAUUUACUUAUAAUCUUCGUAUGUUGAUGCAAAUGAGUCCCUAUGUGACACAAGCAGGGUACAGCUAGAUUGUGGAGCAAUUUGUUUGGAUUUGUGUCUCUCUUCUUAUGUGCUAAUAGUGAUACUAAUAUUGUUUUAUUGGCUGCAUUAUUGUCGACUUCUUUGGAUUCUUGCUUGGUUUGGUGGAUUCUUCCUACGUGUGGUCUCAAGGAUUCAAGGUUGGGUAUUUAAGAUUUGACUCAAGGGUGCAAGUGGUCUUAACGAAUAAUUCUCUUGCUCUUGUCUCUGUGUUGGGAAAGAUGCAUGGCGUGCCCCCUUCGUCCUCUGAUUAUAGGAUACAUGGUUGGGUAUUUAAGAUUCGACUCAAGGGUGCGUGGUCCUAACAGAAUGAUUGUCUUGCUCGUCUCUGUGUUGGGAAAAAUGCAGAGCGUGAUCCUUCGUCCUCUGAUUAUAGGGAUUUGCUUCUCAGUCCACAGUUAGAUACAAGUCAGAUGAACUUUGGGAAGUUGGAGUACAAUUUGAGGGUGAAUUACUACUGCAGGAGAGGUAGUCUACCUCUUUGCUAUGUGUACGCCAUUGAUCAAUUUUUUCC